AUGGCUCUUAGGUUUGAUUUAAUUAGGUUUGAUUUAGUUCUUGCACAAAACGCGGGAUGCAAUUGUCUUGUUAUUGACUCUGAUAAUAUGAAAGUCAUUGACACAAUUAAGAAUGGAAGACAAUUUGCGUGACCGGCGGUGGGAGUCUUCGAUGAUUGCUACUUCAUGGCAUGUGAUUUUCCGUUGACUAGAUUUGUACAUUGUAAUAGGAUAGCUAAUAAGGUUGCUCAUGAACUUGCUAGGCUAGCGAAAGUUUCUGUAAUUAGAGAUUGGUUUGAGGAGCCUAUGAAGAAUAUUGUACCUCUUAUUAUAUACGAUGUAACCAUUAUUUCCAAUUAA
rnacentral:rRNA from 1 species